rnacentral:rRNA from 1 species
GACGAACGCUGGCGGCGUGCUUAACACAUGCAAGUCGAACGGAAAGGCCCUGCUUUUGUGGGUUUCUCGAUUGGCGAACGGGUGAGUAACACGUGAGUAACCUGCCCUUGACUUUGGGAUAACUUCAGGAAACUGGGGCUAAUACCGGAUAGGAUCUCCUGCUGCAUGUGGUGGGUUGGAAAGUUUCGGCGGUUGGGGAUGGACUCGAGGCUUAUCAGCUUGUUGGUUGGGUAGUGGCUUACCAGGGCUUUGACGGGUAGCCGGCCUGAGAGGGUGACCGGCGACAUUGGGACUGAGAGAGGGAGCAGAAUCCUAUGGGAGGCAGCAGUGGGGAAUAUUGCGCAAUGGGCGGAAGCCUGAUGCAGCAAUGCCGCGUGCGGGAUGACGGCUUUCGGGUUGUAAACCGCUUUCGAAUGUGACGAAGAGUGAGUGACGGUAAUGGGUAAAGAAGCACCGGCUAACUACGUG